UUGGUAGGGCAACAGCCCAGUGAACCGGGCGGGGCAGUUGAUGAAAGCGGAGACAAUCAAUUUCCCUAAAUGACAUCCACAUUUAUUUUUAACUUAUCGGGUUUAGUUACCUUGGAUCAGCUCUAAGGUUGAGCAACCCUUAGAGCAACCUUUAAAGCCAUUGGAUGCAUUCUGUCACAAUUGUUUCGGAUUUAAGUACAGGCGUCCAACGACUUUGGGGGCUGC
rnacentral:lncRNA from 1 species